rnacentral:rRNA from 1 species
UGCGUAGGUGGUUUGUUAAGUCUGAUGUGAAAGCCCUGGGCUCAACCUGGGAAUUGCAUUGGAUACUGGCAGUCUAGAGUGCGGUAGAGGGUAGCGGAAUUCCCGGUGUAGCAGUGAAAUGCGUAGAUAUCGGGAGGAACAUCCGUGGCGAAGGCGGCUACCUGGACCAGCACUGACACUGAGGCACGAAAGCGUGGGGAGCAAACAGGAUUAGAUACCCUGGUAGUCCACGCCCUAAACGAUGCGAACUGGAUGUUGGGGGCAAUUGAGCCUUCAGUAUCGAAGCUAACGCGUUAAGUUCGCCGCCUGGGAAGUACGGUCGCAAGACUGAA